rnacentral:rRNA from 1 species
CACGUAGGGAGCAAGCGUUGUCCGGAUUUAUUGGGCGUAAAGAGCUCGUAGGUGGUUCGGUAAGUCGGGUGUGAAAACUCUGGGCUCAACUCAGAGACGCCACCCGAUACUGCUGUGACUUGAGUCUGGUAGGGGAGUGUGGAAUUCCCAGUGUAGCGGUGAAAUGCGCAGAUAUUGGGAGGAACACCAGUGGCGAAGGCGGCACUCUGGGCCAGUACUGACACUGAGGAGCGAAAGCGUGGGUAGCGAACAGG